rnacentral:rRNA from 1 species
GCUCAGAAACUUAAAGGAAUUGACGGGGGCCCGCACAAGCGGUGGAGUAUGUGGUUUAAUUCGAUGCAACGCGAAGAACCUUACCAGGACUUGACAUCUCUGGAAUCUCCUUGAAAGGGGAGAGUGCCGUAAGGAACCAGAAGACAGGUGCUGCAUGGCUGUCGUCAGCUCGUGUCGUGAGAUGUUGGGUUAAGUCCCGCAACGAGCGCAACCCUCGUCGUUAGUUGCCAUCAUUAAGUUGGGAACUCUAGCGAGACUGCCGGUGACAAACCGGAGGAAGGUGAGGAUGACGUCAAGUCAGCAUGGCCCUUACGUCCUGGGCGACACACGUACUACAAUGCGAGGGACAGAGAGCAGCCAACCCGCGAGGGAGAGCGAACCUCUUAAACCCUGGCACAGUUCAGAUUGCAGGCUGCAACUCGCCUGCAUGAAGGAGGAAUCGCUAGUAAUCGCAGGUCACGCAUACUCGCGGUGAAUACCGUUACCCGGGCCUU